AUGUAUGCAUAUGUGUAUGUGUAUAUGUAUGUGUGUAUAUGUAUAUGUAUUGUGCAUACACACACACACACACACACACACACACACACAUAU
rnacentral:miRNA from 1 species